AUGUCGUACUCGUACACUCCGGUUCCUGCGCGCCGUCCAUGCCCGCGUGACGGCUGCUCGCUACGUGUUGUUAGCC
rnacentral:sRNA from 16 species